GGUGUAUGGAUCUUUGGAGGUGGAACCAUGUUAUCUAUCAAAACACCAUCACCAAAAGCACCGACUGUAAGCCUUCUACCACCAUCAAAAGAUGAGCUGUCAAGCAAACAAACAGCCACACUGAUGUGUUUAAUUAAUCACUUCCACCCACGAACAGCUAGUGUCACAUGGCAAGGGGAUGCAACAGUGAUAAAUUCAGGAGUACAAAACAGUGAAGUCAGGGCAGAUGGGGCCAGUGAUUAUAUGAUGAGCAGUUACCUUACACUUCCAGCAAAUGACUGGAAACGCUAUAAUAUGAUCAGCUGUGUGGUGUCACAUGAAUCCAAAACAAUCACAGAAAGUCUCAAGACGUCAGAAUGUCUUUAAACAUCCUGAGAUCUCUGAAAUGACACACAAUACAGAUUACAAAGUCUAAUAUUAUAUCUAUUGUAUGUCUACUUCUUGGUAAUUCAGCAGUUCAUUUUGCGAUGCUGGUGUACUUGUUUUGUUUUGUAGAAGUGAAUGUUUUCACAGAGAUAUUCUCUGUCACUUUAACAUUUGUUUAUACUUUGCUUGGUUACCAUUGGUACUAGUUUUUCAACUAAAUAUAACGCAACUUCCAAUAUAUUUUUGUGUGACAACAGCAAUACAUUGUCAUAGAUGUUGUAUCAUAACAAUGUACCUACUGUCUAGCAAAGAUAAUCUGCAUAGAAAAUAUAUUUGUGUAGUUGUCUUUCUGCAAUAAAACAUUCUAUUUAAAAUGCA